UACGUAGGUGGCAAGCGUUGUCCGGAUUUACUGGGCGUAAAGAGCGCGCAGGCGGUCGUUCAAGUCGCGUGUGAAAGCCCCCCGGCUCAACUGGGGAGGGUCACGCGAUACUGAUCGACUGGAAGGCAGGAGAGGGUAGUGGAAUUCCCGGUGUAGUGGUGAAAUGCGUAGAUAUCGGGAGGAACACCAGUGGCGAAGGCGACUACCUGGCCUGUUCUUGACGCUGAGGCGCGAAAGCUAGGGGGAGCAAACAGG
rnacentral:rRNA from 1 species